CAUCUUUCUUAAUGCGUCUCUCUCUUUAAUAUUGUUUCAUAAUUGAGAAAAUUGACAAAAGUAAACGCAACUAAUGUCCCUUCUUUAAAAUCCCAUUCCUCUAAAAAAAAAAAGAAAUAUGACUUUUUUGAACAUAAUUUCAGUGAAGCUAGGGACUCGUUUGAGAAAGUUUUCACUAGGUAUUUGGUUUUCUAAUAUAUUUGUGUGGUAUAUGUUAUGCUUGUUUUCUAAUUUGAAUACUGUAAAGAUCUAUGAAAUGGUCGUUGGCUUUACUGUAUUGAAUUUUCUCACUUUACAUUUCUAAUGCCCAUAGCAUGUUUGAGAGAAUGCCUCAAAGAGCGACAUAUACGUGUAUAUAUAUAUAUAUAUAUAUAUUCAAUUGGUGUUUGAUCUUCAAGAACAUGUUUAUUUCUACACAUAGCAAGUGAGUUUACUAUCUCUCUCUAUAUAUAUUUAUAGUUAUGCUAGGAUUAAUAAAGUUGGUUCUGUAUAGACCUUAAAUGUUCUUUGUAUCAGAUUUGGUAUUUUUUAUAUAGCAAAUGAUGAUAUUUUAAAGACACCGUGAGGCGGUAGGCAUAAUCAGGAAAGGGAAAAUGUGUUAUGUUCAUUAACAAUCUUCACACAGGAGCUGGUAGGCUUGGAGGAACAACACAGACAACUUUGGUGCCCUAAGAGACAAAUUUUAUGAUGAUGAAGUGAGGAAAUGGAUCUCCUGAAUUGGUGUGGAGAACAUUGGAAAGACACUUGUAAACUCAAAAGAAAGACCCCCAACAUUUGAACAACCAAAGAUGACUCUUAAAAAGCUUUUUGAGUAUGGAAACAUGCUUGUAGAAGAGCAAGAAAAUGAAAAGAGAGUUCGGUUUUCAGACAAGUACAUGAAAGAAACAGCUCUUGGAGAUGCAAAUGAGGAUGCCAUCAAGUGGAAACUUCUAUGAUUAGAGCUUAGAAUCUUAGAUUUUUCUCAAGUACUCCUUGACCCAAUUAUUGUCUAUAAAUUUCAGUCUUCUAAAAGUGUUGUUGGUGUGUAUUGAACUUGUCUGAUCUGAUUGGUAUUACAUGUAAGCUAAAUUAAAUGCGUUUUAAUUAUAUUUAAAAAUCAUUGUAGGUAA